GACGAACGCUGGCGGCGUGCUUAACACAUGCAAGUCGAACGAUGAAGCCGGAGCUUGCUCCGGUGGAUUAGUGGCGAACGGGUGAGUAACACGCGAGCAAUCUGCCCUUGACUCUGGGAUAACUGCGGGAAACUGUAGCUAAUACCGGAUACGACACCUUGGGGCAUCCCAGGGUGUGGAAAGAAUUUCGGUCAAGGAUGAGCUCGCGGCCUAUCAGCUAGUUGGUGAGGUAAUGGCUCACCAGGGCGACGACGGGUAGCCGGCCUGAGAGGGUGACCGGCCACACUGGAACUGAGACACGGUCCAGACUCCUACGGGAGGCAGCAGUGGGGAAUAGUGCACAAUGGGCGAAAGCCUGAUGCAGCAACGCCGCGUGAGGGAUGAAGGCCUUCGGGUUGUAAACCUCUUUUAGCAGGGAAGAAGCGAAAGUGACGGUACCUGCAGAAAAAGCACCGGCUAACUACGUGCCAGCAGCCGCAGUAA
rnacentral:rRNA from 1 species